GAUGAAGAACGCAGCGAAAUGCGAUAAGUAAUGUGAAUUGCAGAAUUCAGUGAAUCAUCGAAUCUUUGAACGCACAUUGCGCCCGCCAGUAUUCUGGCGGGCAUGCCUGUUCGAGCGUCAUUUCAACCAUCAAGCCCCCGGCUUGUGUUGGGGACCUGCGGCUGCCGCAGGCCCUGAAAAGCAGUGGCGGGCUCGCUGUCACACCGAGCGUAGUAGCAUACAUCUCGCUCUGGGUGUGCUGCGGGUUCCGGCCGUUAAACCACCUUCAUAACCCAAGGUUGACCUCGGAUCAGGUAGGAAGACCCGCUGAACUUAAGCAUAUCAAUAAGCGGAGGA
rnacentral:misc_RNA from 1 species